rnacentral:rRNA from 1 species
CCGAAUACAUUAGCAUGGGAUAAUGGAAUAGGACCCUGUCCUCCUAUUUUCAGUUGGUUUUGGCAGCGCGAGGACUAGGGUAAUGAUUAAUAGGGAUAGUUGGGGGCAUUAAUAUUUAAUUGUCAGAGGUGAAAUUCUUGGAUUUAUGAAAGAUUAACUUCUGCGAAAGCAUCUGCCAAGGAUGUUUUCAUUAAUCAAGAACGAAAGUUAGGGGAUCGAAGACGAUCAGAUACCGUCGUAGUCUUAACCAUAAACGAUGCCGACCAGCGAUUAGGAGACGUUGAAUACAAAACACCACCAUCGGCGCGGUCGUCCUUGGCGUCGGUCUUUCGGGGCCGGCGCGGGGGCGGCUUAGCCCGGUGGCACCGGUGAAUGACUCCCUAGCAGCUU